rnacentral:rRNA from 1 species
AUACGUAGGUGACAAGCGUUAUCCGGAUUUAUUGGGUUUAAAGGGUGCGCAGGCGGCCAUUUAAGUCAGCGGUUAAAUCGUGGGGCUCAACCCCAUUCUGCCGUUGAUACUGGGUGGCUUGAUUGCGGUCGAGGUUGGCGGAAUUCGUUGUGUAGCGGGGAAAUGCAUAGAUAUGACGAAGAACACCGAUUGCGUAGGCAGCUGACCAGACCGCAAAUGACGCUCAUGCACGAAAGUGCGGGGAUCGAACAGGAUUAGAUACCCUGGUAGUCCGCACAGUAAACGAUGAAUACUUGUUUUCGGCGAUAUAAUGUCGGAGGCAAAGCGAAAGCGAUAAGUAUUCCACCUGGGGAGUACGCCGGCAACGGUGAAACUCAAAUGAAUUGACGGGG